rnacentral:rRNA from 1 species
AGCCUUUAGUCAACCCACUAUUAAAGGUGAUGCCUGCCCAGUGACUCAUUAAACGGCCGCGGGAUCCUCCACCGUGCAAAGGUAGCAUAAUCACUUGUCCUCUAAAUAAGGACUAGUAUGAAUGGCCACAUGAAGAUUUUCCUGUCUCUUGUAGAAAAUCUAUGAAACUGAUCUUUCAGUACAAAAGCUGACAUAAUUACACAAGACGAAAAGACCCUGUGGAACUUUAAACAAUAGCCAAAUAACAUGACUUCACUUGCUUUUAGUUGGGGCAACUAUGGAAAUAAACUAAACUUCCACAACAAUACACAGGUGGACACACCAAUACCCCCCCCUUCCCCGAUCCAGUACUUACUGAAAAAGAACCAAGCUACCCCAGGGAUAACAGCGCUAUCCCCUCUUAGAGCCCCCAUCGAUGAGGGGGUUUACGACCUCGAUGUUGGAUCAGGGCCCCCAAACAGUGCAACAGCUGUUAAAGGUUUGUUUGUUCAACAAUUAAUGCCCU